UGGGGAAUAUUGCAAAAUGGGGGAAACCCUGAUGCAGCGACGCCGCGUGAAGGAAGAAGUAUCUCGGUAUGUAAACUUCUAUCAGCAGGGAAGAUAGUGACGGUACCUGACUAAGAAGCCCGGCUAACUACGUGCC
rnacentral:rRNA from 1 species